UACGAAGGGGGCUAUCGUUGUUCGGAAUUACUGGGCGUAAAGCGCGCGCAGGCGGCCUUUCAAGUCAGGGGUGAAAGCCCGGAGCUCAACUCCGGAAUUGCCUUUGAAACUGUCAGGCUCGAGUACGGGAGAGGUGAGUGGAAUUCCCAGUGUAGAGGUGAAAUUCGUAGAUAUUGGGAAGAACACCGGUGGCGAAGGCAGCUCGCUGGGACGGUAUUGACGCUGAGACGCGAAAGCGUGGGGAGCAAACAGG
rnacentral:rRNA from 1 species